GUUACAUGUGAUAAUGUCUUUUAAACUAAAGGAUUUUUUUGUGUUGUUUGACAUAAAAUGUGAUCUACGUUUCUCUUUUUUGUUUUUUCCAAGCUAUGCAGGUAUUGCAUUUGAAGAAAACUUUAUUCUUUUUAAAAAUUAUUUUUAUUUUACGCUCAGGCGCCCACUCUUCCCCUGUAAUCUGCAUGUUAAUCUGUGUGUGCCGUGCAGAGCUGGCUGAGGCGCUGGGAGCGGAGGAAUUGUAUUUAUUAGAAAAUAUUUGCAGAAGCAGACUCUGAGAACAACUGUCAAAC